rnacentral:tRNA from 1 species
GUUUAUAGUAUAAAUCAUUACAUUUGCUUUUCACGCAAAAAAGACAAUUCAUUAUUGUUAAACA